CCUACGGGAGGCAGCAGUGGGGGAUAUUGCACAAUGGGGGAAACCCUGAUGCAGCGACGCCGCGUGGGUGAAGAAGCGCCUCGGCGCGUAAAGCCCUGUCAGCAGGGAAGAAAAUGACGGUACCUGAAGAAGAAGCCCCGGCUAACUACGUGCCAGCAGCCGCGGUAAUACGUAGGGGGCAAGCGUUAUCCGGAUUUACGGGGUGUAAAGGGGGCGCAGACGGGGAUGCAAGCCAGGAGUGAAAGCCCGGGGCCCAACCCCGGGACUGCUCUUGGAACUGCGUGGCUAGAGUGCAGGAGGGGCAGGCGGAAUUCCUGGUGUAGCGGUGAAAUGCGUAGAUAUCAGGAGGAACACCGGUGGCGAAGGCGGCCUGCUGGACUGCAACUGACGUUGAGGCCCGAAAGCGUGGGGAGCAAACAGGAUUAGAUACCCCAGUAGUC
rnacentral:rRNA from 1 species